rnacentral:tRNA from 1 species
AGGGAGACAAACAACGAUUUUGAUGCCUGAGUGCUUUUAUUCUUAGGCCGAAAUCCUGUCACCUUAGGUCGAUCGGUACCUCAGCAUUGAGAGCAAAGAAUGAUGAGCAAUCAUCAGGAGAAUGCAGGAGAUGUUCAGUUCCUAAACUUUGUCUAGGUCACACCCCACAAGGGUUAAGUCUCCUGGGCCAUUAGCUCAGGUGGUUAGAGCGCACCCCUGAUAAGGGUGAGGUCCCUGGUUCAAGUCCAGGAUGGCCCAUUCGGUGUUGGGGGUUUAGCUCAGUUGGUAGAGCGCCUGCUUUGCAAGCAGGAUGUCAGGAGUUCGAGUCUCCUAACCUCCACUGACCGAAGUUAAUCUCCUUCUUCCAGAUAAGGGAGAUGAACUCGCGUGUGAUGGUGUGUGAUUUUAGAUGUGUCCGCUGGAUGCGACCCCAGCUUCCUGUCAUUCUGAGGAUCAAGAUGCUUUUAAUGAAAGCGUGUUGAUGUUGAGUUGAUAAGAUGCUGGGCUCAGAUUUUUAGUUUGUUGAGCGAUCAACAAGCUGAAUUUGAUGUCUAGCAGAACCUUGACAACUGCAUAGGUAAGUCUGGAAAAAACAAAGCAUCUCAUGGAUGCAUUGUUUUGAGUUCAAGCCCUCGCAAGGGGGAUUGAAUCCAGAGCAAUGAAAAUUCUUUUGAGCAAGAGCCGAGACUCUUAAGCGUUCUUUGAUUCGUGUCGAGCGAAUCAGAGUUCGAUUUUGUUUUUAUCAGAGGCGAAAGUCGAUGAUGAAAGCAUAAGAAUCUGCUUUCAACGGCGGUAAGCGUUUGAGAGGUUAAUU